rnacentral:pre_miRNA from 19 species
UUGCGUAUUAUCUACUGUCCUGUUACUAAGUACUAGUGCCGCAGGAGCUCUCAUAAUUCUCCUGCUGCUCAAGUGCUUAUCAAUGGGUACAGUUACAUGAUUC